rnacentral:rRNA from 1 species
GACGUAGGGCGCGAGCGUUGUCCGGAUUUAUUGGGCGUAAAGAGCUUGUAGGCGGUUUGUCGCGUCUGCCGUGAAAAUCCGGGGCUCAACCCCGGACUUGCGGUGGGUACGGGCAGACUAGAGUGUGGUAGGGGAGACUGGAAUUCCUGGUGUAGCGGUGAAAUGCGCAGAUAUCAGGAGGAACACCAGUGGCGAAGGCGGUCGUCUGGGCAGAUAACUGACGCUGAGGUACGAAAGCGUGGGGAGCGAAACAGG